UCUAAUAGAAGAAUGUCAGUCUAAAGUCUUGAACUUUAGUUUUAAAAAAUCAUUUUUGCAUGGAUAAAUUAGGUUAGACAUGUUUAGAUAGCAAUUUAUCUGAAAAAAGAUAUUGGCAUUCUUAGUGGAGUGCGAGCUAAAUAUAAACCAACCCUGUGAUAUGCCAAUCAAAGAAGUUAAUGAGAUUUUAAGCUACACUAAAAGAGACACCAGUUGUUUGGUAAGAGUAAUAUCCUAAUCCCUGCCCACAUGCAAGUGAAGCUAAUUUUUCCUUAAAAGAUAUUGAGAAUAUCCUUGAGCCUAGCUUCACUCAGAGGAUUAACAGUUCAGACUAUUGACGUCACUUCCUGGUUGUAUGACUACAAAACAGCCACAAGGGUUCUCUGACACUUGGAUAGUAGGAGACAAUGGUCCACUCAGGCAAGGAAGCUUCCCUCAGCUCCAUCAAUUCAAAGUGUCUUCAGUGCCUAUUUUUGUUGAAUAUCCUUCUUCUGCUAUGGCUAAAACCAUUUAUUCUUUGUAACAACCAUAAACUAAAAUCCAUCAUCACCAAAAAGAAAAAAGAAAAAAGAAAAGGUUUCCUUGCCACUAGACAAGUUUCCUAUCAUUUUGGAAAUUUUAUUCAAUGAGGACUAUCCACAGCAUAAUACUUCCAUAAUUCUGGAAAUUAAUCAGGUACCAUGCUGCCUUGCUGGAAGAACACUGGUGGUAAAAGAUGGGCCUCCAUCAACUGUCUGAACAAAUUAUGGAAUAUGAACAGAAUUAAAUAGUAUUAUGCUGUAAGAAAUUAUGAUGCUACAAAAGGGACAGUUUUAGAGAAACCUGAGAAGAGGUAUUUAAACUGAGACAAAAUAAAGUGAAUAGAACCAAUACCUGGGUAAUAUAU
rnacentral:lncRNA from 1 species